AUCACUUCCUAGCCUUCUGACUAAGAUGCAGUGCAAAUCUGAUCUCAUCGGUUUAACACUGGUUGGGUCCUCCAGCCAAAGACAACAUAUGAAAUGAUUUUUAGAGCUAAUCAAUAGAACAGAAAAUGGUUCCCUCCACUAUACCCCUUGACCUGAUACUGCAGAACCUCCAGGGUUGAUGCAUACUCU